GAUUAAGUCCGGAUAUAGCUCAGUGGUCAGAGUGUUGGACUCGUAAUUUGAAGGUCCGGGUUCGAAUCCUAUACUUUUCA
rnacentral:tRNA from 1 species